GAUGAACGCUGGCGGCGUGCCUAAUACAUGCAAGUCGAGCGAACAGACGAGGAGCUUGCUCCUUCGACGUUAGCGGCGGACGGGUGAGUAACACGUAGGUAACCUACCUAUAAGACUGGGAUAACUUCGGGAAACCGGAGCUAAUACCGGAUAAUAUUUCGAACCGCAUGGUUCGAUAGUGAAAGAUGGCUUUGCUAUCACUUAUAGAUGGACCUGCGCCGUAUUAGCUAGUUGGUAAGGUAACGGCUUACCAAGGCAACGAUACGUAGCCGACCUGAGAGGGUGAGCGGCCACCCUGGAAGUGAGCCCCGGUCCGGCCGCCUACGGGAGGCAGCAGUGGGGAAUCUUCCGCAAUGGGCGAAAGCCUGACGGACCAACGCCGCGUGAGUGAUGAAGGUUUUCGGAUCGUAAAACUCUGUUAUUAGGAAAGAACAAACUUGUAAGUAACUGUGCACGCCUUGACGGUACCUAAUCAGAAAGCCACGGCUAACUACGUG
rnacentral:rRNA from 1 species